UUGGCCCCGACAUCAAUUUGAAAGAAGAGAGAGUUUUCUUCGCGUCUCUUCUUUCAAUUACGAUGGCAAAACAGCUCUGUAUUAUGCCGCUCAAGCAGAAAAUGAUGAUGAUGCUUUGGCAAUUGCUAAAUUGCUUUUGAAGAAAUGCGAAUCCGAUGAACACAGAAGCCUGCUUUUGUUUGCUUCUGCUGUUGGAAUCGGUUCUGCAGAAAAAUGUUUAAGCUCCAAUUCUAAUAUCAACAAAUUUCUUGAGAGCACAAGUGGUGAAAUAAUGCAAGCACCAAGGGCGGAGAAUUUGCUUAGGGUUGCAGCAUCGUUAGGCAACGCAGAUAUGACGAGGGAGCAAGCAUGGAACUCAUUCGAAGUGAGAAAUGGAUAGCCGGUCUCUCACCAGAGAGAAAAAAAAUGUCGAAGAUGUUCGCAAGAUGCCUCCUGCAUUCAAAGAUAACCUCUGGCAGAAUCUUGAGUAGAAACAAUGAAACCUCUGGCAGAAUCUGAAGCUAAACCUCUGGCAGAAUCUUGACGAUCUUGAGGAUAACCUUAGAAUAGUAGUCUUUGUUGACGAUCUUGAUCGUUGCCAAGAAAAUGUGAUUCUGCAGAUACAUUCAGGAGUGAAUCUGGUUUUGGCUGUUUCCAAGAUCAACGUAAUUUGGGGAUGGACAAGAGAAUGAUGGAGGGGCGCGGUUAAUCUGGUUCUAAAAUUGUGAUGUCAUACAAUGCAUAAUUUUUCUGUUAUGUAGACAGAAAAAUUGUAAAAUAGGUACAGAAUGAUUGUGGGACUCAA